GAUGAACGCUAGCGGCAGGCCUAAUACAUGCAAGUCGAGGGGCAGCAGGGUGUAGCAAUACAUCGCUGGCGACCGGCGCACGGGUGCGUAACACGUAUGCAACCUACCUUUAACUGGGGAAUAGCCCUCCGAAAGGAGGAUUAACACCGCAUAACAUCACGAGACGGCAUCGCCUUGUGAUCAAACCUCCGGGGGUUAAAGAUGGGCAUGCGUCCGAUUAGCUAGUUGGCGGGGUAACGGCCCACCAAGGCGACGAUCGGUAGGGGGUCUGAGAGGAUGAUCCCCCACACUGGUACUGAGACACGGACCAGACUCCUACGGGAGGCAGCAGUAAGGAAUAUUGGACAAUGGUCGCAAGACUGAUCCAGCCAUGCCGCGUGCAGGAUGAACGAUCUAUGAUCUGUAAACUGCUUUUGUUCGGGAAUAAACCCCUUCACGUGUGGAGGGCUGAAUGUACCGAAAGAAUAAGGGUCGGCUAACUUCGUGCCAGC
rnacentral:rRNA from 1 species